GAUCAUGGCUCAGAGCGAACGCUGGCGGCAGGCUUAACACAUGCAAGUCGAGCGGGCGUAGCAAUACGUCAGCGGCAGACGGGUGAGUAACACGUGGGAACGUACCUUUGGUUCGGAACAACACAGGGAAACUUGUGCUAAUACCGGAUAAGCCCUUACGGGGAAAGAUUUAUCGCCGAAAGAUCGGCCCGCGUCUGAUUAGCUAGUUGGUGAGGUAAUGGCUCACCAAGGCGACGAUCAGUAGCUGGUCUGAGAGGAUGAUCAGCCACACUGGGACUGAGACACGGCCCAGACUCCUACGGGAGGCAGCAGUGGGGAAUAUUGGACAAUGGGCGCAAGCCUGAUCCCAGCCAUGCCGCGUGAGUGAUGAAGGCCCUAGGGUUGUAAAGCUCUUUUGUGCGGGAAGAUAAUGACGGUACCGCAAGAAUAAGCCCCGGCUAACUUCGUGCCAGCCGCCGC
rnacentral:rRNA from 1 species